AAGCCCCGGUAAACGGCGGUGGUAACUAUAACCAUCCUAAGGUAGCGAAAUUCCUUGUCGGGUAAGUUCCGACCUGCACGAAUGGCGUAAUGAUGGCCAGGCUGUCUCCACCCGAGACUCAGUGAAAUUGAACUCGCUGUGAAGAUGCAGUGUACCCGCGGCAAGACGGAAAGACCCCGUGAACCUUUACUAUAGCUUGACACUGAACAUUGAGCCUUGAUGUGUAGGAUAGGUGGGAGGCUUUGAAGUGUGGACGCCAGUCUGCAUGGAGCCGACCUUGAAAUACCACCCUUUAAUGUUUGAUGUUCUAACGUUGACCCGUAAUCCGGGUUGCGGACAGUGUCUGGUGGGUAGUUUGACUGGGGCGGUCUCCUCCUAAAGAGUAACGGAGGAGCACGAAGGUUGGCUAAUCCUGGUCGGACAUCAGGAGGUUAGUGCAAUGGCAUAAGCCAGCUUGACUGCGAGCGUGACGGCGCGAGCAGGUGCGAAAGCAGGUCAUAGUGAUCCGGUGGUUCUGAAUGGAAGGGCCAUCGCUCAACGGAUAAAAGGUACUCCGGGGAUAACAGGCUGAUACCGCCCAAGAGUUCAUAUCGACGGCGGUGUUUGGCACCUCGAUGUCGGCUCAUCACAUCCUGGGGCUGAAGUAGGUCCCAAGGGUAUGGCUGUUCGCCAUUUAAAGUGGUACGCGAGCUGGGUUUAGAACGUCGUGAGACAGUUCGGUCCCUAUCUGCCGUGGGCGCUGGAGAACUGAGGGGGGCUGCUCCUAGUACGAGAGGACCGGAGUGGACGCAUCACUGGUGUUCGGGUUGUCAUGCCAAUGGCACUGCCCGGUAGCUAAAUGCGGAAGAGAUAAGUGCUGAAAGCAUCUAAGCACGAAACUUGCCCCGAGAUGAGUUCUCCCUGACUCCUUGAGAGUCCUGAAGGAACGUUGAAGACGACGACGUUGAUAGGCCGGGUGUGUAAGCGCAGCGAUGCGUUGAGCUAACCGGUACUAAUGAACCGUGAGGCUUAACCUU
rnacentral:rRNA from 1 species